UACGGAGGGUGCGAGCGUUGUUCGGAAUCACUGGGCGUAAAGGGCGUGUAGGCGGUCCGCUAAGUCUGAUGUGAAAGCCCGGGGCUCACCCCCGGAAGGGCAUUGGAAACUGGCGGACUCGAGUCCCGGAGAGGAAGGUGGAAUUCCUGGUGUAGCGGUGAAAUGCGUAGAUAUCAGGAGGAAUACCGGUGGCGAAGGCGGCCUCUGGACGGUGACUGACGCCUGGAGAACGCGAAAGCGUGGGGAGCAAACAGG
rnacentral:rRNA from 1 species